rnacentral:rRNA from 1 species
UGCGAAGAGCGAGCUUCAAGCGGGAUCAGUGCCAAAGCUAACGCAUUAAGUACCCCACCUGGGGAGUACGAUCGCAAGGUUGAAACUCAAAGGAAUUGACGGGGGCCCGCACAAGCAGUGGAGCAUGUGGUUCAAUUCGAUGCAACGCGAAGAACCUUACCCGGGUUUGAAAGGCCAGUGACAACCGAUGAAAGUCGGUCUUGUAGCAAUACACACUGGUACAGGUGCUGCAUGGCUGUCGUCAGCUCGUGCCGUGAGGUGUUAGGUUAAGUCCUGCAACGAGCGCAACCCCUACAUUUAGUUGCCAUCAGGUCAAGCUGGGCACUCUAAAUGGACUGCCUACGCAAGUAGCGAGGAAGGUGGGGAUGACGUCAAGUCCUCAUGGCCCUUACAUCCGGGGCCACACACGUGCUACAAUGGCCACUACAAAGGGUUGCAGAGCCGCGAGGUGAAGCUAAUCCCAAAAAAGUGGUCUCAGUUCGAAUUGGAGUCUGCAACUCGACUCCAUGAAGCUGGAAUUGCUAGUAAUCGCUGAUCAGCACGCAGCGGUGAAUACGUUCCCGGGCCUUGUACACACCGCCCGUCAAGCCAUGGAAGCUGGGGGUACCCGAAACCGGUGCGCUAACCGCAAGGAAGCAACCGACUAAGGUAAAACCAGUGA